UACGGAGGGGGCUAGCGUUGUUCGGAAUUACUGGGCGUAAAGCGCACGUAGGCGGACCAGAAAGUUGGGGGUGAAAUCCCGGGGCUCGACCUCGGAACUGCCUUCAAAACUAUUGGUCUGGAGUUCGAGAGAGGUGAGUGGAAUUCCGAGUGUAGAGGUGAAAUUCGUAGAUAUUCGGAGGAACACCAGUGGCGAAGGCGGCUCACUGGCCCGAUACUGACGCUGAGGUGCGAAAGCGUGGGGAGCAAACAGG
rnacentral:rRNA from 1 species